AACGAACGCUGGCGGCGUGCUUAACACAUGCAAGUCGAGCGAGAACGGGAGCUUCGGCUCCUGAGUAAAGCGGCGCACGGGUGAGUAACACGUGGGUAACCUGCCUUUCAGUGGGGGAUAACAGUUCGAAAGGGCUGCUAAUACCGCAUUCGUCCACACGGUCACAUGUCUGUGUGGAGAAAGAGGCGCAAGUCUCGCUGGAAGAUGGGCCCGCGGUCCAUUAGCUAGUUGGUGGGGUAAAGGCCUACCAAGGCUUCGAUGGAUAGCUGGUCUGAGAGGAUGAUCAGCCACACUGGAACUGAGACACGGUCCAGACUCCUACGGGAGGCAGCAGUGGGGAAUAUUGCGCAAUGGGCGAAAGCCUGA
rnacentral:rRNA from 1 species